rnacentral:rRNA from 10 species
GGGCAGGGAAAGGCAGGGGGGGGGCUCUGGGAUUUCAUCGUUGGCGCUCACUGAAAAGCCCAAAUUUCCGUAUAGCCCUCCUUUUUCAGGUUGCAUCAAUGUAACGAUAAGCUUUAUCGUCAGAAGAGAAACAGCUCAAACCGUCGAAAUUAAGGUUCCAAAAUGGAUGGGAU